AUAAAUAGAGAAGCCACAACUAAUUGAUAAGAAGCUGUAGGAUUUAUAUUUUAUGAUGCUUUUGUUUAAAAUUUAGUUUUGUCCACUCUGCAAGUUUAAAUUUACUGCUUUGUAAGUAAAAUUCAUCUUUGCUUUGUAAGUAACAUUGAAAUUCAUCGUUUAAGUUUCUCUCAAGCUUAGUUGUGCAUAAAAUUAGAAGGGCAAAGGAGACGUGGUGAAAAAGAAAAGGAGAGGAGAGAGGACAGAGAAAGAUGAGACGACAGGGAUUUUAACCAUGAUGGCAUAGCCUUAGGCCCUGCAUUUUGGAAAAGAUGGAGAGAGAUGUGAACUAAGAUAUGCGAUGUCCUGAUAGUCCUUGUUGCAGUGCACUGAAGGAAGCAAAACAAGCAUCAGAAUUGAAGAGUUCUAGUGGGCGGUAAAGACUUGGAAAUCAUAUAGCCAACAGCGAUGAGGUGCGCAUUGAAGUGGCUGAUUAUAUACAAACUUUGAUAUAGAAUAUUGACUACUAAAAUAUUUUCAGUAAGGCUAGUUUUUUGCUUUGAGGCAAAGUUUGUUGAUAAAACUGAUUGUUACU